CAGUGGCUUGAGCCCCAUCCCACAGACCACAGGGUCACCGGCUCGAUUCUGCUCAGGGCACAUGCCUGGGUUUCAGGCCAGGUCCCCAGUUAGGACGCAUGCAAGAGACAACUGAUUGAUGUUUUAAAAGGAAAAGAAAAAAGCACCCCUUACAGGUUACCCCUGCUGCUAAUAAAAACCCACUCACUCCACAUCCGUCUGUCCUGGGCAG